UUUUUUGUAUUGGACGACUUCGGAUUCCUUUUCCUUAAAAUUUCUUGGAAGUUUCGGUGUGGGUGCAAAAAAUUAGAUUAAAAGGCAAUGGGUUGCUUGUCAUUCUAUGCCAUCAUCAAUCCAUGUAAGAAAAGCAACCGUGGUACCUUUUCUUCUAAUCUUCUUCUAGAGAAGACAUACUAUUAUUAUUCUCUCUCGUGUCGUGCGAAAAUCCUAAUGCCAUUGUCAACAAAUUCUCAGAAUCGGACACAUUUUUCCAAUCCCUUAUUAUAAAUAUUCUGCUUUGUUUUGUUUGCCAUCAAUUUGUUCUCCUUUGCAUAUAUUCUAAUUAAGAUAAGGUGAUGCUUAAGAUAAAGAUAUUGCAAGCCGUAUUGGCGGGGUUAACGUUUUUGUUGGGGUUAUUAAGCAAUCUAGUGUUGAGGCUGCAGAAACAGAGCCAAAAGCCUCAGAAGCAGCAAAAACUGCUUCAGAUCAAAUCUGAAUUAGAUUCUUCUUCUUCUUCGUCAACGGAGAUGAUGGUGGUUGAUGAUGAUGACAUGUAUGGGCUGAGCUGGAGGUUGGCAAUGGAGACAAACAAUAAUGUGCGUCCUUGGAAGACAAUCCCACUUCGUUGCUACAAGCAUGUUGAGAAUUACAUGAUUGGUGGACAAUACGAGCAUGACAUGAACCUCAUCGUGGAUGAAAUUAUGUUUUAUGCAUCUCAGAUUACUCUUUCUACUUCUACUACUACUACUACUCAUCAAGAUGCUUGGGUUUUGGACGUGGACGACACUUGUAUCUCUAAUAUUCCUUAUUAUAAAGCUAAACGAUUUGGGUAUGUUUCUUUCUUUCUUUCGUAUUUUUUUUAUUAUAUGUUAGACUUGGGGCACACAAUUUGAAUUUAUUUUUUUUAUGAUAUGAUAUUUGGUGGCAGAUGCGACCCAUUUGAUUCGGCGAUGUUCAAGGCAUGGAUCAAUCAAGGAAUGUGCCCUGCAAAUCCUGUGGUACUAAGAUUGUUUAAAACGUUGAUAGAGAAAGGAUUCAAAGUGUUCUUAGUAACGGGUAGAUACGAAGGAACACUUGCCAAAAUCACUACGGACAAUUUGCAUAACCAAGGAUUCAUCGGCUACCAACGCCUUAUUUUAAGGUAACUAACAAUUAGUAUUUCAUUUUUCUAACUUUUUCAUAACUAGCGUACAACAGUUUUUGUGACAUAAGCCAGCCUCUUUAGGUUAGGUGGAUAGUGACUGCUACCUACGUUACGUUCUCAUGACAAAAUUAUUGGUGACUAGGAGGAUAUGUUUAUAACAACAAUGAUGAUAUUUGUGUGGAUGAAUCAACGUUACAUGAUGUAAUAUACCACAUUAGUAUUAGUACAAUAAUAAUCUCCAUGGAGACAACAUGUGGCGUAAUUGAUGGUUUGAAUUUGAAAGCCAGUUUUAGUAUAGUUAUUUGUUUCGUUUCAUUGAUGUAUACGUAACUUCGUAGAAGCUAUCGCCGCUCUAAUUCCAAUGUCUAAUAUGUCGAUUCGACAGGUCAAAUUCAUUUUCAACUAAAGCUAGUACCAUUCAUAUGACCUUAAUUUCCAAGCUAUGAUGAUGGUCACAGAACCUAUUUUAUUUUAGAGUUAACAUAUAUUAUUAUCAAAUAAAAGUUGAAUUAUUUCUUUUUCUUUUUUUUUGUCAGGUAGUCUAGUGGUUAGUAUUCACCUUUUUCAAGGUGAAUAAGUGAGGUGUCCGUGAUUCGAACCCUGACCUCUGCAUAUAACAAUGUAUGUCCCUGCCAACUGAGCUAUGCUCACGGGAACAAAGUUGAAUUAUUUCUAUAAAUAACUGAUAAUAUACUUAUUUUUUAUUACAUAAAAACAUGUAUCCUUGUAUUAUUUUAACGAAAUCUUUAAAAUAAAUAAAAACAUCCAAUAAAACAAAAGGAGUAUAUUUAAUUGACUUUGGGUGCCAUUUAAUCUGGGAAAGAAUACUUCUUUCCCACUAUGGAAAAGUCUUUUUUUAACCAUUAGAUUGAGUAGUACCACCAUUGUUACUAUAGUCUAUCCACACUUUAUUUUUUUCACAUCAUCUCUAACCUUAACAACUUAGUUUAUUAUCGUCACCCAAUGAAAAUUUCAUCUCAAUUUAUUUUUCCCUUCAAAAAUAUUCUUGAAUCAAAAUAAAGAGAAAGGGAUCUAAUUGUGAAACCCAACUAUUCAUCUUCAUUCAUUCAUUUAUGUGUUCUUCAAACAAAUCACUCAUCUUCACCAAUCUUUUCUUCCUAAAAGUUGAGAUCUGGAACAUCACAACAACAAAACAAAUUUGGAUCUGGAAAACCACCACAACAAGCUUCACUAUAUUUGAAGAAAAAAAACGUUGAAAAGCAAGGAAAUUUUGAAUUUUUUUAUUUGAAUAUUUAUUUUGGAGGGUUUAUAAUUCUAGGUUUGUUUUUGUUUUCCCUAAUUUUAUAUUAUUGGUUGUGGGGCUUUUUUGAAUGUUGUUGAUGAUCUACAUUUAUGUAUUUGAAAAAUCUCAAUGUUUUUUUCUUCUUUUGUUAUUAUGUCGUGUAGGUUGCUUGGCUAUAUUUUUGUGUGAUUAACAUGUUGAACUAUUUGUACCGAGGAGCAAUAACUAGCAAUAAUGUUAAUGGACAUCGUGGGACUUGAACAGAUUAUAAACCUAGAUUGUAAAUUCAUAAUGAUAACUAACAAAAUUGAUAAAGAUGGUGGGUGAGAGAGACAUGUGAGAUAGAGUGGUUGGAAAAGAUAGUAAUAUAAAAAUCCAGUAUUAAGAAACUAUAGUAAUAGUAUGUUUUUCAUAUGAUCCAAUGAUUAAAAAACACUUUUAGAUUAAAUGGCACCGACUUUGGCCGGUUUGUUGGAAGUUGAUAUGUAGGAUUAAACUACAAACACGACAAAAAAGCCAUUGUCAAAAGCAUUGGCAUUUCGUGUCUGCAUUUUCUAAUUUUAUUACGGCUAGUGGAUACAGGAAACUUCCUCCAACAAUGCAAUGUUGUUUUGUCAUGAGAAGGGAUUUGCAUAUAUCCACAUUUUCUAUUGGGAUAUUUUUUGUAUUGGACGACUUCGGAUUUCUUUGCAAUGUAUUUUCCUCUUAAUUUCACUCGUUAGUUAAAUGGAAACAAGUAUUUUCUCUUCUCCAACUCCAAAUUCAUUCACUUAAUGACAGAUAGUUAAAAUUAACUUACAAAGGAUUUUGUUCCCUUCCCUUCAAAUAAAAUAAAAUAAAAUACCUCUAAAAUUUAAAAGAAAAAUGCCAACGAAUGUUCACUGGACAUUUUUAACGUGGAGAAACUCAAAAAAAAAAAAAAAAAAAAAAGGAUAAUUGGAGAACUUUAAGGAUUUUAAAUACAUUUUCACGUCAAAAACAAGAAGGAUUUUAAAUACAUUUUAAAAUUCAUUGACUUAAAAAAUAUUAUUUUGAUGCGAUCUUGUUUGUAAAAGAAAGUUUGGCUGGUAAUGUCAUUCCAUAAAACAAUUUUAAUAAUUAAUUUUCUUUUUGGCCUUUUGAUAUAAUGAAAUUGUUGCAUAUAACUGGGCUCUUGGUAGUUAGAAUUAUUAAUUAUAUAUGUUAGCCAAAUAAUGAGUAAGUUUUGUACUACUCAUAUAUGAAUAAAGAAUCAUGCAACCUUAAUAAUUAAUUUCCUUCAAUUAAUAAAAAUUAGGUUCAAUUAACAACUGAGUAUACUCGGUCAAUAAAGGGGAAAAGGAAUAGUAGACUUAGACUCCGUUUAGUUUGCGUUUAUGAAAAAUAAUUUAUGUAAAUAAGUAAGUUUUUAUUUUAAUUUAUAAGCUAUUACUAACGAAAAUUGUAUCUUCAUAAAUAGUUUUUCAUAAACUACCUUAAAAACUUAUAAAUAAUACAUAAAAAUUUAUUUAUUUACAUAAACCGUUUUAUAUAAGCUAUAAAAUAAGUUAAUUCAAAUGGGCCUUCGUCAGCUCUAAAACUCAGCUUUUUUCUAACUUAAGUUUGAACUAACUCUACAAUGUCACGCUGCUGACAAUGCCAAAUUUAGCAUGCUUGCUUACGUAUGUAUGUUGUCCAAGUCAAUGAUCAAUGCAAAUAAACAUUUUGAAAGCUACCUCUUAAUUUACUUUUCGUCUUGCUUUGCGUGUCUGCAUUUUCUAAUUUUAUUAAGGAUAGUGGAUACAGGAAACUUCCUCCAAUGCAAUGUUGUCUUAUCAUGAGAAGGGAUUUGCAUAUAUCCACAUUUUCUAUUGGGAUAUUUUUUGUAUUGGACGACUUCGGAUUCCUUUUCCUUAAAAUUUCUUGGAAGUUUCGGUGUGGGUGCAAAAAAUUAGAUUAAAAGGCAAUGGGUUGCUUGUCAUUCUAUGCCAUCAUCAAUCCAUGUAAGAAAAGCAACCGUGGUACCUUUUCUUCUAAUCUUCUUCUAGAGAAGACAUACUAUUAUUAUUCUCUCUCGUGUCGUGCGAAAAUCCUAAUGCCAUUGUCAACAAAUUCUCAGAAUCGGACACAUUUUUCCAAUCCCUUAUUAUAAAUAUUCUGCUUUGUUUUGUUUGCCAUCAAUUUGUUCUCCUUUGCAUAUAUUCUAAUUAAGAUAAGGUGAUGCUUAAGAUAANAUUUUUAGAACUUGAGAUAUGAUUAAAUUACUACACAUGGGUCAUGUGGAUUUUUGUGAAAACUUAUCAUAACUUUUUCUUUGAGCUGUGGAACUU
rnacentral:lncRNA from 1 species